rnacentral:rRNA from 1 species
UGCCCAGUCGUGGGGGAUAACGUAGUGAAAAUUACGCUAAUACCGCAUACGAUUUACGGAUGAAAGCGGGGGAUCGCAAGACCUCGCGCGAUUGGAGCGGCCGAUAUCAGAUUAGGUAGUUGGUGAGGUAAAGGCUCACCCAGCCAACGAUCUGUAGCUGGUUUGAGAGGACGACCCGCCCCCCUGGAAAUGAGACCCGGUCCCGACUCCUACGGGAGGCAGCCGUGGGGAAUUUUGGACAAUGGACGCAAGUUUGAUCCCGCCCUUCCGCGUGCCGGACGAAGGCCUUCGGGUUGUAAACUGCUUUUGUACAGAACGAAAAGGUCUCUAUUAAUACUAGGGGCUCAUGACGGUUCUAGGAGAAUAAGCCCCGGCUAACUACGUGCCCGCAGCC